GACACCUGUUACCAAGUCACAGACUUACGUUCAAAACUGGAGCCUGAGAAGUAGCCACAUUGGAGGGUCUUGACCUGAAGUAGGUCACUGACGUGCCCUGAUGGUGGGCAGUGUGUGGGCAGCUCUGGGGCUUUCCCCCACCUGCAUCUCAGCCGUCAGCCUCGUCUCCCCUGCUGGUUCCAGACCACCACCUUCUCCUGCGGUGUCCUCGCCUACUGCUCCUGGCCUCAAGGUGACAGCUGGAACCAGAGCUGUGGGACCUUCCAGUCCCUGGAUGAUAUUCCUGACUUCGCCUGGAAGUUGAGACGUGGACUUGUCAAUUUACUGUAGCUUCGAGGGGUCGGGAGCAGGGCAUUCUCAAAUGCAUCAGCGCAAAAAAAAAAAAAAAAAAAA